GCCAGGCAUGGUGGUGCAUGCCUGUAAUCCCAGCAGCUUGGGAGCCCGAAGCAGGAGGAUCUCGAGUUCAAAGACAGCCUCAGCAAUGGCAAGGUGCUAAGCAACUCAGUGAGAUCCUGUCUUUU
rnacentral:sRNA from 1 species